UACGGAGGGGGCCAGCGUUGUUCGGAAUCAUUGGGCGUAAAGGGCGCGUAGGCGGCCGACCAAGUCGAAGGUGAAAUCCCUCGGCUCAACUGAGGAAUUGCCUCCGAUACUGGUCGGCUUGAGUCCUGGAGAGGGUAGUGGAAUUCCGAGUGUAGCGGUGAAAUGCGUAGAGACUCGGAAGAACACCAGUGGCGAAGGCGGCUACCUGGACAGGUACUGACGCUGCAGCGCGAAAGCUAGGGGAGCAAACAGG
rnacentral:rRNA from 2 species